rnacentral:rRNA from 1 species
AAACAAGUAGCUGGGGUGUGCUGACACUGAGACACGAAAGCCAGGGGAGCAAACGGGAGUAGAUACCCCGGUAGUCCUGCCCUAAACGAUGUCCACUAGAUCGUGGCAGCUCUGACGCUGUCAUGGUCGAAGCAAAAGUGCUAAGUGGACCGCCUGGGAAGUACGGUCGCAAGGCUAAAACUCAAAGGAAUUGACGGGGGCUCACACAAGCGGUGGAGCAUGUGGUUCAAUUCGAAGCAACGCGCAGAACCUUACCUGGGCUUGACAUGCUAGGAUUAUCUCCAUGAAAGUGGAGUAGGCCCUUCGGGGUACAACUAGUACAGGUGCUGCAUGGCUGUCGUCAGCUCGUGUCGUGAGAUGUCGGGUUAAGUCCCUUAACGAGCGAAACCUUUGCCCUUAGUUACCAGCGGGUUAUGCCGGGGACUCUAAGGGGACUGCCGGUGUCAAACCGGAGGAAGGUGGAGAUGACGUCAAGUCCUCAUGGCCUUUAUGCCCAGGGCCACACACGUGCUACAAUGGGGUGCACAGAGCGAACCGAGAGCGCAAGCUGGAGGAAAUCGCAUAAAUCACCCCCCAGUUCAGAUCGGAGGCUGCAACUCGCCUCCGUGAAGUUGGAAUCGCUAGUAAUCGCGGAUCAGCUACGCCGCGGUGAAUGUGUUCCUGAGCCUUGUACACACCGCCCGUCAAGUCAUGGGAGCCGGAAAUAGCCGAAGCCGCUGCAAUUCAGCAGUGUCUACGCUAGGUUCGGUGACUGGGACUAAGUCGUAACAAGGUAACCAAGGG